AAGAUAUUAAAGAACAAAGCCGUUAAGGUACAGAUUGCCGCAGCUCGCGGCGAAAGCUUCCAAAAAUCAUGAAAUCGGAAUCCUAGCCUCGUGAUAGCGAUAAAAGGUGGGGGGUGUCAUCCCGAUGCAACUGGGCUUCUCCCUAUGUCUAAGUAUUUCUAUGUUGAACAUACUAUAUAUAUAGUAUCAUGCAUGUUAGGGUAUUUAGAUGUUACUUUUACUAUUCUUGCAUGCUCCCUUGUAUUGCGGCAUAGUAGGCUUGGCAUGUGAACUUAGGGUGCAUGAGAAUGAGUUUGUGACAUAGAACCCUAUAGAGAUAAGUUAAACAAUAACUUGAUCUUGCAUAGAGGAUAUAUGACUAGUAUAGUCGGGACAAUUGCAUUAUGGCAAGUGACAUGUGAACCAAGUACAUACUUGACGAGUGGCAUAUGUGUACCAAGUAAACAACUUGACGAGUGGCAUUAGAACGUAGUGUUAAAAGAACACUUGUGCAUGUUGGUCAUAGUGACCGGGUACCUUCGUUGGAAACGGAUUUGAUCAUACUCACACAGUCUGUUCAGCGCUUGUGGCGGUAGCUCCGCACAAGUAGUGCGAGCUCCGGAGUCUUGGCACGUGAAACGAUUGGGAUAGCCUAUGUGGGGUCCCAAGGGAUAGCCUAUGUGGGGUCCCGCAGAUAAUCCCUCGGGUGGUUCGAGUCCCCCUUCAUAGACGGAUUUGAGUUGUGAGUCGAGGGCGCGCCUUUGGGCCAGCCAGACGAUUGGGUGAUGAACUCAAGAGAAUUAUGCACAUUGAGCAUAGUAAGCAUAUUGAGCAUGUUGAGCAUGUUGGGCAUAGUAGAAUUGCAUGUAUACUUGAUAGAGUUAUUAUAGCAUGUUAGAGAUUACAUGGCUAUGUGAUUUACUCUUGUUCUCCAGGCAUAGUAGAACCUUGCAAUUCUUUCUAUAUGCAUCAAUUACAGUUACAAAUAUCUAUCUAUCUGCUUAUGCCUGCUUAGACCUAGUGGGAAGAUCGGCGGAGUCGGCGGCCGAACCCACUGGGAACUAUAUUUAAUAGUUCUCACCCCGUGUGGUUUUGGGGUACAGGUACACACAGAGGCGAGCCAAGCGAGGACCGCGGCAAGGGCAUAGCGCCCUAAGUGAGCCUAGUUAGUAGCUUUUCCUUUAUGCAUUAGAGUACCCUCGUGUACUAGAGAAUGUUUUGGAUAGUUAUGAGAGGGCUACUUAUAUUUUGAAGAAACAUGUACUUACAUUUUGGAAGAUGAAAAUGUAAUAUAUCAAAGAUGUAAAAAUAGAAUGUGAAGUAAUAGCUAGAUGUAUCUCUCUUUAUGCACUUGUAUGUAUACUUGUGUUACUUGCUCUUGUUGUAUUGCACUCUUUGUGCUUCUCUCCUUGUUGGAUCGUGUAUGUAUUGAAUUAUUCCUGGGCAAUUCUAUGUACAUGAUCUUACUUUUGAGCCUUGGGCGGACAGGGGAGGUGCUGUCCGUCCGGCGUCUGUUCGACGCGCCCGAACCGGACCAAAUUGGUAGCGGUCUCGGGGCGUGACAGAUAAAUGUGGUAUCAGAGCAAGUUAAGAGCAAGUAAAAAGAGAGAGUCUAGGACGACCUAGGAGACCCUAGGACGGUAAACCUUAAGGCUAUAGGUGCGUGAGUGAAACGUGAACCUAAGCCGAGUGGCGGAAGAUAAUUCGAUUGGGUUGAAGUUGUCACUAUGUCUCUAGUUGUGAAUAGAGACGGAUUCAAGUGGUAUUAGUUCUUGGCUUGAAGUGAGAGUGUUGGCGGCCGA
rnacentral:lncRNA from 1 species